AAAGUCGUAACAAGGUUUCCGUAGGUGAACCUGCGGAAGGAUCAUUCAUAACAAGUGUUAAUAUGGCACUUUUUAAAUCCAUAUCCACCUUGUGUGCAUUGUCAGUUUCAGAAUGUUUGCCCUCUUCCUGUCUUCAGGAUGUUUGCAGCUUCCGAAAUUCUUCUUCACGCGUUUUGAACUUGUCAGUCUGAAGAAUUGAUAACUUAAUUCGAAAAUACAACUUUCAACAACGGAUCUCUUGGCUCUC
rnacentral:misc_RNA from 1 species